rnacentral:rRNA from 1 species
CCUACGGGAGGCAGCAGUGGGGAAUCUUGCGCAAUGGGCGAAAGCCUGACGCAGCAACGCCGCGUGCGGGAAGAAGGCUUUCGGGCUGUAAACCGCUUUCAGCAGGAACGAAAAUGACGGUACCUGCAGAAGAAGGAGCGGCCAACUAUGUGCCAGCAGCCGCGGUGAUACAUAGGCUUCAAGCGUUGUCCGGAUUUAUUGGGCGUAAAGAGUUCGUAGGCGGUCGAGUAAGUCGGGUGUGAAAAUUCUGGGCUCAACCCAGAGACGCCACCCGAUACUGCUUGACUUGAGUUCGAUAGGGGAGUGGGGAAUUCCUAGUGUAGCGGUGAAAUGCGCAGAUAUUAGGAGGAACACCGGUGGCGAAGGCGCCACUCUGGAUCGAUACUGACGCUGAGGAACGAAAGCAUGGGUAGCAAACAGGAUUAGAUACCCUGGUAGUCCAUGCCGUAAACGGUGGGCACUAGGUGUGGGUUUCUAUUAACGAAAUCCGCGCCGUCGCUAACGCAUUAAGUGCCCCGCCUCGGGAGGUACGGUCGCGAGAACGUAAACUACAAAGAAGUAAGUAGUACGUUGAGAGUUAGCGACGACGACGACGACGGAGGAGGAG